GCCUGGGUGGCUCAGUCGGUUGAGCGUCCGACUUCAGCUCGGGUCAUGAUCUCACAGUCUGUGAGUUCGAGCCCCACGUCAGGCU
rnacentral:tRNA from 1 species